UACGGAGGGGGCUAGCGUUGUUCGGAAUUACUGGGCGUAAAGCGCACGUAGGCGGCGAUUUAAGUCAGAGGUGAAAGCCCGGGGCUCAACCCCGGAAUAGCCUUUGAGACUGGAUUGCUAGAAUCUUGGAGAGGCGAGUGGAAUUCCGAGUGUAGAGGUGAAAUUCGUAGAUAUUCGGAAGAACACCAGUGGCGAAGGCGGCUCGCUGGACAAGUAUUGACGCUGAGGUGCGAAAGCGUGGGGAGCAAACAGGG
rnacentral:rRNA from 1 species